AAAUCUCUCGUGUCGUCAUACGCGCCGUCGUGAAGCCCGGGCACGUGCCCUAGGCGCAGGCGGAAAUGGAACAAAGAAACUGAUGUAGUCGGCGCUCGGCCGCGUCGGGUGGGGUUUUUGCUCUCCGAGUCCCCAGUCCAAAUCCACCAUCCUAAACCAGCCCCGUACCUCCACAGCCUCCCUGCGAAUCCACCGCCACCGUCCAUUCGGCCGCCAUCGCGCCUCGGAUCCGAUGGACACGGGCGCAGAUCAUCCACGCCACCGCCGGCUCAGGAAGGUCUCCGAUCUCCGCACCACCGCCGCCGCAUACCCACCCCCGAAACGGAUCCGUUCGGGCGAGGAGCACAACAGUUGCCGCGAGGACAAGAUCAGCAGCUUACCUAACGAGAUAUUAAUCUUGAUCAUUGACAAGCUAGAUGCACGGACAGCGACAGCCACCACUAUCCUUUCGAAGCAAUGGCGGGAUCUCUAUACACACUCGCACAUAGGUUAUGACCUUACGGUUGAUGACAUUCUCCCUCCACGGUACCACAGACUGAAGCAAAUUGUGGUGGAGGCUAAGGCAAGGUAUGAGGCAGAGAAGAAUGCACUGAAGUCGGACGGCAGUUAUGCUUCUAGAGACUGGUUAUAUUCCUUCAAAGACUGGAGGUGGAAAGUCUGUCAGCUAACACCCAUCCUGCAACGUUAUGAGCGUUGGGCCAUGCGACGCUAUGUUAAACGGGUGAAUGCAUUCCUUCUGGCCCCCGACAACGUUCAGCAACGUUCUAUCCAGAAGCUGAGGCUUCAAGCCUGUGGGAGGAGCGAUUUCACAGAUCAAUGGAUCACGGAAGCGAUUGGCAGAUGGGGCGUUGAAGAAUUGGAGCUUGUCAUUGACAACUCUUCCUGGCGCUAUGACUUCCGGCUGUUGGAUGGAUGCAAGAAUGUGCGACUGAAACGGCUUGUGCUAUCCAAUUGUUAUCAUCGUUUUGCACCCGCCCCCUUGACGUUUCAGAGCCUCACAUCACUUACUCUGUGCAAAGAAAGUUUACGCAUGCUACAUGUUCUUGAUAUUCUGGGAAACUGCGGGCAGCUGGUGGAUUUGAGGCUGAAAGAUUCUGGCUGUCGCCAACCUGCUUUUAAUCGUUAUUCCCAACUCACAGUUAAAGAGUCUGCAAUUGGACAACUACAACACUGUGAGUGUCCAUCUGGCUUUGGUGCCUUGUCUUGAAACAUUUGCUUGUCGUGGUCAGCCAACUAUAAUACGCUAUGGCGAUGUGCCUCGACUUAGGCAUGUGAGUCUGAACUUCUUGCAAACUGGAGAUAAUGGCAAGGAUGAUUCCUCUGGUAGCAACAGGACAUAUCAACUAAGCAAAUUCUUUACAGGGGCACCGCCAUCUCUAGAGUACCUUGUUCUGCAGUUAAGAGGGCGUCAGAUGUGGAUCGAACCAACCGCCAUUCCUGUCCGGCUCAAUCAUCUCAAUAAACUAUUCAUUGCAAACGUGCCAAUGAACUGGGAUACAAUCUGGAUUCUCUGCCUAGUUGGUGCCGCACCUGCCUUGGAGUCGCUCCAUGUUCAUUUUGACAACAACUCAGAGAAGGCGAGUGCCGCAGGAUCACUAGAUGUGCAGGUGGAACACCAUCCGUACCACCAUCACCUGAAAGAACUCGUGGUCAUUGGCUUCAACGGGGCGGUGUGGCAGACUGGCUUUGUGAAGCAGAUCAUCCAGGCAUCGCCGAUGCUGGAGCGCGCCCACCUGCUGGACGGGCACGUCGUGGAGGACGAAGAUCGGGAGCUCGUUGGCCUGGAGAUAGUCCGGCGCCGCCGGGAGUGGCACGAGUGUGAGAGAUCGGAGGUGCUCAGAGUCCUGGCAGACGGGAUCAGUUCGCCGCAUCUUGAAAUAGUUUUGGAAUGACUUUUGGUAAAAGUCUGCUGUGCCGGUAGCCCCCUUCCGUUUGUAGGGCUUGUAGCUGUAUGCCAGUGCCCAAUGAUUAUCUCAUGCUGGCUCUAAAGAUAGAAUAACAUGUGUUUGUAUGUGGUAUCUUGUUCCUUACUUUUGCUUGAUUAUCCAAAGGACGGAUGCAGCUAGCUGUUGAGAUGAUUGAUCACCGUACAAUCUCCAGCACUAGCUACCGUGUGGUAUUUACUUGCC